rnacentral:rRNA from 1 species
CCUACGGGUGGCAGCAGUAGGGAAUAUUGCUCAAUGGGGGAAACCCUGAAGCAGCAACGCCGCGUGUAGGAUGAAGGCUUUAGGAUUGUAAACCCCUUUUGUUAGAGAAGAUUAUGACGGUAUCUAACGAAUAAGCACCGGCCAACUCCCUCCCAGCCGCCGCGGGAAUACGGAGGGUGCAAGCGUUACUCGGAAUGACUGGGCGUAAAGAGUGCGUAGGCGGGGUAAUAAGUCGGAUGUGAAAUCCUGUGGCUUAACUACGGAACUGCAUUGGAAACUGGUAGCCUGGAGUGUGGGAGAGGGAGGUAGAAUUCCUGGUGUAGGGGUAAAAGCCGUAGAGAUCAAGAGGAAUA